CCGGCGCACGGGUGAGUAACACGUAUGCAACCUGCCUGCCACAGCCGGAUAAUCGGGAGAAAUUCCGUCUAAUACGGCAUAAUGCAUCGACGGGACAUCCUGUUGGUGCCAAAGGUUAAUUCCGGUGGCGGAUGGGCAUGCGUCGCAUUAGUUAGUUGGCGGUGUAACGGACCACCAAGACGACGAUGCGUAGGGGUUCUGAGAGGAAGGUCCCCCACAUUGGAACUGAGACACGGUCCAAACUCCUACGGAAGGCAGCAG
rnacentral:rRNA from 1 species